UGCCCAGCAACUCCAAUCCCUACCUCCUCGUGGUACUGGCCGGGGUACGAGCAACCUUGAAAAAGAUCGGGUAACUAGCCCAGGUGGGAACUUUGAUGAUAUGCUGACAGGGAAGG
rnacentral:ribozyme from 1 species